UCUCUCUCUCUCUCUCUCUCUCAAAAUAAAUAAACACUAAAAAAGAAUAGUUGGACGCUCAACCAGCUGAGCCACCCACUUACCCCAGAAUGUGAGUCUAUAGGGUUUUGAGUAGAGGAAUGGCAUGGCUUGAUUUAUCUUUUAAAAUGAUCAGUCUGGAUAGCAUGUAAAGAGUAAAGUGGGAGGAAAAGAUAGAAGCAGAAAGAGCAUUUCAGGAGAGAUGAUUGCAGUAAUCAAAACAAGAUAUGGUAGGAUGGUAGCAGUAGAGGUGGUGACAAGGGUAGAACUAGAAUUUACUUUCUGAAUCUGCCUAAUGGGUUGGAUGUGGCUUGUGAGAAGACAGGAGUGAAGAUUUUGUCCUAAACAGCUAGAAGGAUGGAAUUGUCAUCAGCUGAGAUGAGACAGCUGUGGAUGGAGUACAUGUAGAGGUUAGGAUUGAGAGUUCACUCUGGGAAUUCAGUUCAGUUGGAUUUAAGUUGCUUACUAGACAUAGGGAGUUGUUGGAUAGGCCAUUGCAUAUGAGUCUAAACAUAAAGAAGUCUGAGAUAGAGAUGUCAGCUUGGGGGUCAUUGGCAAGUGGUCAUUGGUACGCAACUGAACAGUACCACUAAGUGAGUGGAGAUAGAGGCGAGAAGAAAGAAGAGAAGAGGAAUGAGAACUGCCCUCAGGGCUCAUCAUUAAGAGAUCUUGGAGAAGAGGAGGAACCUGUGAACAGUGACACAAGAACCAACCAGUCUGGUCCGAGGAGCGAGGGGCAGAGAGUGACCACCUGCUGGGGUCCUCCAGAGAAGGUCCUCCACAUGGAAACAAGACAGUGGGCCAUGGAAUCAGCAUGGAUUUUUAUAUUCCAGUUUGCAAGGAUAUAGUCAUCAUCUUCUCUUGGUCUUGGGUCAUAUUUCAAGUAA